CAGGUAGCGUAUAAAUUUGCAUGAACAACGGCGAAUCGUUGACAGGUCAGGAUAUGUUAUUUCAGAACAAUGACAUGUAACCAAUGACAAAGUUAAGACUUACUGGAGGUGCCGGCUGCGAUGUAAAGACAAUAAUUAAACCCGCAACAUCCACAGAAGUCAGCUGUUGUUUCAAGCACGGAGUAUAUCGUUUCUGUUGUUGAGUGGAAUUAAACACCAGCCGUGUUUGGUAAACACAUUUUUGGGCCUUCAAAUCUUGGUAAGUAGACUUUUGACAUUAUUGUUAAUCAGCUUUAAUUACCUGUAUACCUUUGUUAAUCCUAUCUGUAUUUAUGUCAGUUGGACUGACAUAGAUGCUUUCUUGAAGACCUUCGAUGCUCCAGAGUGCCUUGACCCUCGGGAUGCUCUUUUUGGAGGUCGUACUAAUGCGAUUCAUCUUAAGUUUACG
ensembl:lncRNA